GAUAGCUCAGUUGGUUAGAGCAUGGUGCUGAUAAUGCCAAGGUUGUAGGAAAGGCAGUUUGGCCCUGACGCUAUAGCAGCA